UACGUAGGGUGCGAGCGUUGUCCGGAAUUAUUGGGCGUAAAGAGCUUGUAGGCGGUUUGUCGCGUCUGCUGUGAAAAUCCGGGGCUCAACCCCGGACUUGCAGUGGGUACGGGCAGACUAGAGUGUGGUAGGGGAGACUGGAAUUCCUGGUGUAGCGGUGAAAUGCGCAGAUAUCAGGAGGAACACCGGUGGCGAAGGCGGAUCUCUGGGCCAUUACUGACGCUGAGGAGCGAAAGCGUGGGGAGCGAACAGG
rnacentral:rRNA from 1 species